CCCCGGGAAAACUGGGUCACUGCCUGCAGUCUGUGGUCACCGCGAGCUGCCUCACGUGUAUCCGCGGCCAGACGCCACACCAUCUUGACGGGAGAAAUUAUGCAAUGCGCCACGUCACGGCGCCACUCGGCCAAUGAGCGGCGACGCACGGGGGAGCGUAAACACUGGUGCACAUGGCCAGGCUGGUGAGUCCAUGUGAGAAGGGAGGACUGCAGUGCUGAUGAAGCUAUCUACUUAGAGCAACCAUCAAACUUGCCUGCAUCUCCAUCAUGGCUAAGGGAUGCCUCUGUUGUUGGAGCACAAAUGACAGCGUCGGCUCAACCACCGCGAGAUGAGCUUUAGCAUGAGACUGGGAAGAGGUGAGGAUUUGGAGAGCUAUCCACGCACCGGGAUAUCUGACAGUGCUGGACCAACUGCACACGCCCGCCACAACUUUGAAGAUCCUUUGAGUACUUUCAUAGGAAUGAUGGGCCGAUUGAUGUGAGUGAUAUUUUGGACAGGCUGAUAAACAGCAUCGCAUCAUACAAACCAGUGUAAGAAAUUCCUGUGUGUGAACAGCUGUCCCCCAUGAAAGCCUGCUGCCCCUUCACUGAAUACAUGCUGAGGAAACCUGCCUAAUUCAGAAUCAAGUUCUGGAUCCCUGCUGAUGUGGAGACGAAAUACUGUAUCUGGUCCAUGGAUGGAUCUGAGCCGCCCCGCUACUCAGAGUCUCGUGAAGAGUGUGGUUCUGAAGUUGACGGAGCCUUAUUAGGGCAAGGGUAGACAUACAACACUUUCCUACAAACUCCUGGCCAAGAAUACCGGCCCUGUUGGCACCACCGACAAGAACAAGAGGUCACUGCCUCCUUUUGCACACAAGAAAGCUCCACCGCAUGACACGAAAGUGAUGCAGAACGACAAGCCAACCCUCACCAUUUACCAGGGAAAAGAAAAGAAGAAUGUCUCCUCAGCACCAUGCACUUAUCGGUGGAUCCACAAGAUGAUGCCAAAAACAAAGCCAGGGACGGUUCACUUCUACAUCCAGACCAUGGUUGGAGUAGAUGUGAAACACAUACCAGAUUCUAAAUAAAAAGUUUAAACAAACUCUGAUAGAUCAUAGAGCAAAUACCCUAUAUACACUAUAUAUUAAAAUAGUCAUGACCGUGUUUAUUCCUUAUCGCUCAUAUUUCUCAAUAAAUA